rnacentral:tRNA from 1 species
GGAGACGUGACCGAGUGGCCGAAGGUGCUCCCCUGCUAAGGGAGUAUGGGGUGUAGAGCCUCAUCGAGGGUUCGAAUCCCUCCGUCCGUUUCCA